rnacentral:sRNA from 1 species
CACUUCAAAGAGUGGCAGCUCAACCAGAAGAAACGAUCGGAGUCCUUUCGUUUCCAGCAGGAAAAUCUUAAACGGCUAAGAGACAGCAUCACCCGAAGACAGAGAGAGAAGCAAAAAUCAGGAAAGCAGACAGACUUGGAGAUCACGGUCCCAAUUCGGCACUCACAGCACCUGCCUGCAAAAGUGGAGUUUGGAGUCUAUGAGAGUGGCCCCAGGAAAAGUGUCAUUCCCCCCAGGACGGAGCUGAGACGAGGAGACUGGAAAACAGACAGCACCUCCAGCACAGCAAGUAGCACAAGUAACCGCUCCAGCACCCGGAGCCUCCUCAGUGUGAGCAGCGGGAUGGAAGGGGACAACGAGGUGAGAGCUGGGACUCCACCCCACCUAUCCUGUCCUAGGGGUCGUUUCAUCGCAAGAGAUAGAAACCCAGGUGAAAGGAGCCAGGCACAAAAGGUCAUAUAUUAUAGGAUUCCAUUUAUAUGAAAUUCCAGAGUGGGCAAAUCCACAGAGACAGUUUGAAGAUUGGUGGUUGCCAGCGGCUGGAGGGAGGAGGAAUGGGAAGAAACUGCUUAAUGGGGACAGGUGUAUUAGGGUUCUCU